rnacentral:rRNA from 1 species
UGCUAAUCUGCGAUAAGCGUCGGUAAGGUGAUAUGAACCGUUAUAACCGGCGAUUUCCGAAUGGGGAAACCCAGUGUGUUUCGACACACUAUCAUUAACUGAAUCCAUAGGUUAAUGAGGCGAACCGGGGGAACUGAAACAUCUAAGUACCCCGAGGAAAAGAAAUCAACCGAGAUUCCCCCAGUAGCGGCGAGCGAACGGGGAGCAGCCCAGAGCCUGAAUCAGUAUGUGUGUUAGUGGAAGCGUCUGGAAAGGCGCGCGAUACAGGGUGACAGCCCCGUACACAAAAAUGCACAUGCUGUGAGCUCGAUGAGUAGGGCGGGACACGUGGUAUCCUGUCUGAAUAUGGGGGGACCAUCCUCCAAGGCUAAAUACUCCUGACUGACCGAUAGUGAACCAGUACCGUGAGGGAAAGGCGAAAAGAACCCCGGCGAGGGGAGUGAAAAAGAACCUGAAACCGUGUACGUACAAGCAGUGGGAGCACGCUUAGGCGUGUGACUGCGUACCUUUUGUAUAAUGGGUCAGCGACUUAUAUUCUGUAGCAAGGUUAACCGAAUAGGGGAGCCGAAGGGAAACCGAGUCUUAACUGGGCGUUAAGUUGCAGGGUAUAGACCCGAAACCCGGUGAUCUAGCCAUGGGCAGGUUGAAGGUUGGGUAACACUAACUGGAGGACCGAACCGACUAAUGUUGAAAAAUUAGCGGAUGACUUGUGGCUGGGGGUGAAAGGCCAAUCAAACCGGGAGAUAGCUGGUUCUCCCCGAAAGCUAUUUAGGUAGCGCCUCGUGAAUUCAUCUCCGGGGGUAGAGCACUGUUUCGGCAAGGGGGUCAUCCCGACUUACCAACCCGAUGCAAACUGCGAAUACCGGAGAAUGUUAUCACGGGAGACACACGGCGGGUGCUAACGUCCGUCGUGAAGAGGGAAACAACCCAGACCGCCAGCUAAGGUCCCAAAGUCAUGGUUAAGUGGGAAACGAUGUGGGAAGGCCCAGACAGCCAGGAUGUUGGCUUAGAAGCAGCCAUCAUUUAAAGAAAGCGUAAUAGCUCACUGGUCGAGUCGGCCUGCGCGGAAGAUGUAACGGGGCUAAACCAUGCAC